CUUUUUAUUUUAACAUCAUCUUAAUACAAUUAUUAAAUCUGUUCUUAUCAGUUUAAUAUCUGAUAUGUCCUUUAUUUGAGGACUGUCUACUGAAUUGAUUUUUGAAACAGGGGGAUGGAAUAGGAGUUUGCUCUGUCCACCCCAUGCAUCGACCUGGUAUUGCAGUGUCUCCAGUAAUGGUUUCAGAGUA